AUUGAACGCUGGCGGCAGGCCUAACACAUGCAAGUCGAACGGUAGCACAGAGAGCUUGCUCUUGGGUGACGAGUGGCGGACGGGUGAGUAAUGUCUGGGAAACUGCCCGCUGGAGGGGGAUAACUACUGGAAACGGUAGCUAAUACCGCAUAACGUCGCAAGACCAAAGUGGGGGACCUUCGGGCCUCACACCAUCGGAUGUGCCCAGAUGGGAUUAGCUAGUAGGUGGGGUAAUGGCUCACCUAGGCGACGAUCCCUAGCUGGUCUGAGAGGAUGACCAGCCACACUGGAACUGAGACACGGUCCAGACUCCUACGGGAGGCAGCAGUGGGGAAUAUUGCACAAUGGGCGCAAGCCUGAUGCAGCCAUGCCGCGUGUAUGAAGAAGGCCUUCGGGUUGUAAAGUACUUUCAGCGAGGAGGAAGGCAUUAAGGUUAAUAACCUUGGUGAUUGACGUUACUCGCAGAAGAAGCACCGGCUAACUCCGUGCCAGCCGCCGCGGUAAAAC
rnacentral:rRNA from 1 species